rnacentral:rRNA from 1 species
AUUGAACGCUGGCGGCAGGCCUACACAUGCAAGUCGAACGGCAGCACAGAAGAGCUUGCUCUUUGGGUGGCGAGUGGCGGACGGGUGAGUAAUGUCUGGGAAACUGCCCGAUGGAGGGGGAUAACUACUGGAAACGGUAGCUAAUACCGCAUAACGUCGCGAGACCAAAGUGGGGGACCUUCGGGCCUCACACCAUCGGAUGUGCCCAGAUGGGAUUAGCUAGUGGGUGGGGUAAUGGCUCACCUAGGCGACGAUCCCUAGCUGGUCUGAGAGGAUGACCAGCCACACUGGAACUGAGACACGGUCCAGACUCCUACGGGAGGCAGCAGUGGGGAAUAUUGCACAAUGGGCGCAAGCCUGAUGCAGCCAUGCCGCGUGUAUGAAGAAGGCCUUCGGGUUGUAAAGUACUUUCAGCGGGGAGGAAGGCGGUGAGGUUAAUAACCUUGCCGAUUGACGUUACCCGCAGAAGAAGCACCGGCUAACUCCGUGCCAGCCGCCGCGGUAA